rnacentral:rRNA from 1 species
UACGGAGGAUGCGAGCGUUAUCCGGAUUUAUUGGGUUUAAAGGGUGCGUAGGCGGUGGAUUAAGUCAGCGGUAAAAGACCGGGGCUCAACCCCGGCAAGCCGUUGAAACUGGUCUGCUGGAGUUGGAGAGAAGUAUGCGGAAUGCGCGGUGUAGCGGUGAAAUGCAUAGAUAUCGCGCAGAACUCCGAUUGCGAAGGCAGCAUACCGGCUCCAUACUGACGCUGAGGCACGAAAGCGUGGGUAUCGAACAGG